rnacentral:rRNA from 1 species
UGGGGGAAUCUUGCACAAUGGGGGAAACCCUGAUGCAGCGACGCCGCGUGAACGAUGAAGCCCUUCGGGGUGUAAAGUUCUUUCGACAGGAACGAUAAUGACGGUACCUGGAGAAGAAGCUGCGGCUAACUACGUGCCAGCAGCCGCGGUAAUACGUAGGCAGCGAGCGUUGUUCGGAGUUACUGGGCGUAAAGAGUGCGUAGGCGGCGAGCCAAGUUUGGUGUGAAAUCUCCCGGCUUAACCGGGAGGGUGCGCCGAAAACUGGUUGGCUGGAGGAUGGGAGAGGAAAGCGGAAUUCCUGGUGCAGCGGUGAAAUGCGUAGAUAUCAGGAGGAACACCUGCGGUGUAGACAGCUUUCUGGACCAAAACUGACGCUGAGGCACGAAAGCGUGGGUAGCAAACA